UACGAAGGGGGCGAGCGUUGUUCGGAAUUACUGGGCGUAAAGGGCGCGUAGGCGGCCGAUCAAGUUAGAUGUGAAAGUCCUGGGCUUAACCUGGGGACUGCAUUUGAUACUGAUUGGCUUGAAUUCGGGAGAGGAUAGCGGAAUUCCCAGUGUAGAGGUGAAAUUCGUAGAUAUUGGGAAGAACACCGGUGGCGAAGGCGCUCUGCUAGGCCGCAACUGACACUCAUGGACGAAAGCUAGGGGAGCGAAUGGG
rnacentral:rRNA from 1 species